rnacentral:lncRNA from 1 species
CAGGAAGAGUUAGCAAGAUUGACAAGUAAUUUGGCAAGUAAUUAUUCAGACACAAAAGUUGUGAACUUACAAAAUAUUAUUUAGUAUUACACUUCCAUAUAAAAUAUCUUACGUAUAUAUUCAAUCAACUUACAAAAAAUAAUAACAUUAAUUAAUAUAUAUUUUAAAUUUAUAUUCAAAAUAUUUGUAUAAAUAUCGAUUUAUUUUUAAUAUAUUUUUAUAAAUAUGUAUUCUUUUUCGGUUGAAAAAUUCUCUACUAAAAAGAAAAAUCACCAAGUGAUGGGAUCGUAAUAAAUAACCAUUAGAAAGUCUCAAAGAGAAGAAAAAAUCUUUUAUAAGUGGGAUCCACUCAUCCAUUCAUGCUAAUGUGAUUAGGACAAAGCUGAACUUUUCUUGGAUAAAAAGGGUAAAAGACUUUUCUUGGAUUAAAUAUUAUAUUAGAAAGUCUUUCAAAGAGAAGAUAAAACCAUAAGAAAAUGGGAUACAUAGUUGCGUCAACCCGAUGAAUUAAUUGAAUAUUUUAACACAAAACAACUCAAUACAUAGACUUAAAAAUUGUAAAUUAAACUACUUAGGUGUGUAUGUGGUUUUUUUUUUUACAUUAAGUUUUAGUUAUAGUUUGACUUUAAAUUAUUGAUGUUAAAGAAUAUAUAUUAUCAUUGCUUAUAAGUGAAAAAUUUUGAUAUAGUUUUUUCUUUAAUUUCAUCUCGUUUUUUUAUUCAUCUCGGUUAUUUUAAAUACGAUUUAAACUCCUACGUAUUUAGGAGUCAAUUGUACCUAAUCAAUUACACUUUUGCAGGAAGAGGUAGCAAGAUUGACAAGUAAUUUAGCAAGUAAUUAUUCAAACACAAAAGCUGUGAAUUUGGGACAACUAUUGAAUGUAUGUACCACAAAUGCACUUGCUAGGGUUAUGUUAGGAAGAAGAGUAUUCAAUGAUGGCAAUGGUGGUUGUGACCCUAAGGCUGAUGAGUUCAAGGAAAUGGUUCUUGAAUUGAUGGUGUUAGCUGGAGUUUUCAAUAUAAGUGAUUUUAUUCCAUCAUUGGAAUGGCUAGACCUUCAAGGAGUUCAAGCUAAAAUGAAAAAAUUACACAAGAAGUUUGAUGCAUUUUUAACAAACAUUAUUGAUGAACGUGAAAAUUCAAAUUUUAAGAGUGAGAAACAUAAGGAUUUGUUGAGUACUUUGUUGUUACUUAAAGAAGAAACGGAUGUUGAUGGAAACAAACUCACUUAUAUUGAAAUUAAAGCACUACUUUUGGUAAGUUACCUACUCUUCUAUAAUUCAAAGCCCUUUUCUCAAACUCAAAAAGUUUGGAACCUCUCAAAAAACAAGAUAGCAAAAUGGAUAUACAACACUAUUAAAUUCUAACACCCACUAACUAAGGGUGUCUUCUAAAGAAUUCCAUAUAUAUAUAUAUAUAUAUAUAUAUAUAUAUAUAUAUAUAUAUAUAAGCCGGAAAAUUAUAAUUAAUUAGGUUGCAUUAAUAAUUUUAUUUAUAGUCUUUGAGAAAAUUUGAAUUUUAUCAUUUGAGAUUAUAAAAUUAAACUCUUACCACUGAGUUACAUUAAUUAUAUAACUAUUUCAUAUUAAAUAUUUCGGUUUACAACUUGUUUGUUUUUUCACUAGUUAGUUGUAGAGGUUUCACUUACAAAUUACAACUUUUUGUUUAGUAUUACAAAGCAAAUUAAUUUUCUUGUACCUAUGUUUUAGAGAAAAGUAAAGAAACCACGUUCAACAAAUACAUUUUUUUUUUACCAAACAUAAAUUUGUAAACUGAAGUUUAUUCAAUUUCGCAUAUGUAGAUUUUAAUACAAAUAUACCUUGACAUAAUGACAUUGGCAAAAGUUUUGUAAAAAAUAUACUUAUAGCUUUGAUUUUUUUUGUAUAGAACAUGUUUGCAGCUGGGACAGACACAUCAUCAAGCACCACAGAAUGGGCCAUUGCAGAAUUAAUUCGAAACCCAAGAAUUCUAGCUAAAGUCCAAGAAGAAUUAGACAAAGUUGUGGGCAGUGAUAGGAACGUGAAAGAAGACGACAUACCUAACCUACCUUACCUACAAGCAGUGAUAAAAGAAACUUUCCGCUUGCAUCCAUCAACACCUCUUUCCCUCCCACGAAUUGCAUCUGAAAGUUGUGAGAUUUUUGGGUACCACAUUCCAAAGGGUUCAACUCUUUUGGUUAAUGUAUGGGCCAUCGCUCGAGACCCAAAAGAAUGGGUUGAUCCAUUAGAGUUCAAACCUGAAAGGUUCUUACCAGGUGGUGAGAAGUGUGAUGUUGAUGUUAAGGGAAAUGAUUUUGAAGUUAUACCUUUUGGUGCUGGACGUAGAAUAUGUCCUGGGAUGAGUCUAGGGCUUCGUAUGGUCCAACUUCUAACAGCUACACUGGCCCAUUCAUUUGAUUGGGAACUUGAAAAUGGACUCAAUGCUGGAAAAAUGAACAUGGAUGAAGGUUAUGGGUUGACACUGCAACGAGCUGUGCCAUUAUUGGUACACCCUAAACCUAGACUCUCGCCACACGUGUACUCGUCUUGUUUCUGAUUUUUAAGUUUGUGUUUGUGAAUUUUUUUCUUUUCUUACUAGUUGGUCCCUCGCUUCAAUUUCUUGCCUAGUUAUAAUAAUGUGAAUAAAUGGGAUUUGUCGUGUGCUGCUGUGUAAAGAUCUCAAAUGAGGGAAGGUGUAAUGUUAGUUCAGAUCUUGUGUGUUUCAAACUUUUGUGUGAAUAUAUACAAUUUUACUUGUUGUAACUUCUGAAAUAAACUAUAGGAGUAUGAUUCUUUCAAUUUCAAAAUUAAUAUGAAUAUUAACUCUUCUUUUCUUUUAAUUAAAAAAAUAGGUUAGGUUAGAGAUAACUAUCAAAUUAAAUAGUGUGAAUUUACAAUGAACUAACAAACAACCUAUAUCAGUAGGAAAAUUUCAUAUUUGAAUUCAAGUGACAAUUUAGUGUAACUUAUGUAAGUAGAAGGUCUAAUCAUUUUUGUCAUCCUCAAUUCGUAGAAUUUUUCAUCUAUAAAUAAAUGGAACAGGACAACUACAUUGUUAUGUAUUAUUACUAAUGAUUAAUGUUAUAUUAAUCAUCAAUUUUCAUCGCUAGAAAAAUAUAAAAUACAUGCAAAAUUCAGAGAUAUUAAAAAAUGUCUCUAUCAGAGACUGAUUUAGAGACAAAAUAAAUUAGUUCGAAACAAAACAAAAUUUUACAUUUUUAAACAAAAUAUAAAGUCAGAAUUGUUGUUACUAUGUCAAUCUAUCUCAAUAAUUUAUUCUAACUUGAAGUUAUAAUUUCAAGUUUUUGAAUCUAGAAUUGAUUUUUCGACUAAAAUUUAGUGCCCAUUUAUUAUAUAUUUUUUAUUAUUUUUAAAAUAGUAAUAAUAACCACUUAUAAGUUUGUUAUAGUUUUUUUUUUAAAAUCACAAAAAUAGUUUCAAAUGAAAAACUGUUAUGAGCAGCUUCUCAAAAAUUACCUAUCACUCGUAGUCGUAGAUAGAACAACUAAUCAUCCAUAUGGAGUUGUUAAGGAAGUGGCGGUACAAACAGACAAAAUUUUAUUUCUAUCAACAUGUGUGACAUUAGAGAUUCAAAGGAAGACUCAUUGACAACAUGAGCCUCAUUGUUUUAUGAGAAGGGAGAUCACAAAUUUCAAAAACUUACCGAGGUAAACAUGCAAACAUUGGCUUCUUUAUGCCAAAUGUAUGUUGUUCCUACCAAACAAGAGGAAGAAGAAGGAUGAUGUGUUAUUUCUUAUAUAUAAUCCACAUUAACAAUGGUUGAGGUGGCGAGCUAAUGACGUUAAACGAAAAUUGAGAUACUCUAUUCAUAAUUUAUGUAAUUUCAUCCAGGUUUUUCACUCACUUCACAUAGCUUUUUAUUCAUCUGGAUUAUUUUAAAUACGAUUUAAAUUCAUACGAAUCUAUGAUUUGAUUGGACCUAAUCAAUUGCAUUUUUCAGGAAGAGGUAGUAAGAUUGACAAGAAAUUUGGCAAGUGUUCAGACACAAAAGCUGUGAACUUGGGACAACUAUUGAAUGUAUGCACAAUCAAUGUUCCACAAAUCGAGUGUUAACUCGCCGAAUUUACCUAGUUUACGUUUUUAGCUACCAAAAUCGUGUUAACUCGGAGGUAAACUCGAUUUUUGGUAAAAUCGGAAUAUUUGACGAGUUUGACUAGAGUUAACUCGGUAAACUCGUGUAAACUCGACCGAGUUUACGUCUAAAAAAGAGAUUUAUGCUCAUUUCCCAAAUGGAUUCGCUCAUUCGCAAAGUAAAUGACCGAAAUGCCCUUAUGCAUGUUAACAUGCGCUAGUGCAAAUUAUAACGUAACUUAAGAUAAGUAGCGUGACUUAACAUGCGCUAGUGUAUUGUGAAACGUGAAUUAACUCACGUUGUCAUUUGCACUAGUGUGAGUUAACUCACGUUCAUAGCAGACAACAGAAACUGCAAUAAAUGCAGUGCAGUAACAGAACUGAAACUUGAAAAGUGUAGAAUGACCUGUAAUCACACCACAUUCAUAACUUAACCGAAUUAUGCCAGUUUAACAAGAUUAUCGGAUAAUACGACAUAAUCGAUCCAAAUUCUCAAAAACAUUGUUUUUCUCACAAUCACUUAAUCACACAUAAACAAUCCAAAUUUCAGAAAUUCGCCGGUAAUUACCCGUAAUAAUUUAAACAUACUUAAUGACACGUAAAUUACCCGGUGUUUACUUGAAUAACACGAACACCGGUAGGUACCGGUUUAGGCUUCUCUUCAAAGUUACCGGUAGGUACUGGUUUUGCUUGGUUGUGAACUAUGUGAGCUUUAACUUGAAAAGGAAUUUUCACUUUAAACUUCACAUCAUUGGUUGGUUUGCCUUCGCCGGAAACUUUGUUUUUGCCCAGUUCCGGCUCAACUCCAUCCUCCGCUACAUUUUCAACCAAGCCACUCAAUGUCUACUCAAUAAAAAAAACAAAGAAAAAAUAAAUAAGUGACUUGUGCGGCAUGCAAAGCAAAUAAAUAAAGUGGCGCAAAAUUUCAAAUUCUGGGCUACUGUCAGUAGCGAGAGUUAACUCACGCUAGUGCUAUCUACCUACGCAACUUAAGUCAUGUUGCCCUUACAACUAGCGUGAGUUAACUCACGCUGAGCCCUACGCCUACUGAAAUGAAAAACGAAACUACCAGCAAAACCAGCAAAAAUGAAAAAGUUUUGACGGUACAUUACAUGUUCUUUGAUGCUUGAUGAGCGUAGAAACUUAUUUCCUGAUGAUUUGCAAUGAUUUGGAAUGAAGAUUUUACCCAAAAAUUUCGCACUUUUUGGGUUUUUGGAGGUGGAGGGAAAGAAAAAAUGGAGCUUAGUGGUUGCCUGCUGGGUUUUGAACAAAAAUAGUACUUAACGCAAGUAACAUGCGCUACGUGACUUAACUCACGCUGCGUGACUUAAGUUAUCCUUAUAACUAGCGCAUGUUAACUCACGCUAUGCAAGUUAACAUGCGUAGGGGCAUUUUUGACUUUUAUUUUGGGAAUGAGCGAUACUGUUUGGGUAAUGAGCAAAAUUCUAAAAAAAAAUAAGAAAAAUUGGGCCAUUUUUUUAACCCAUUUCAUUUCAAAGCCCAAUUCCUCUUCUUCAAGCCCAAGGACUGAAUAAUUUCUUUUCUGUAACACGUUGUCUGGCUUCCUGAAAUUAAGCAUUUCUUUUUCUUUCUUCUCUUAGUUCUCAAACCAUGAACAGGAGAGCACAUACCAGUUAGGGUUAUAGUGGUGGAAGGAAAACUAUUCCGAUUGCGACGCCGGUGAUUGCGACGCCGGUAGUGGAACUUAUAAUUUUGCUAGUUUAUUUUGUAUUUUGAUGUUUAGUUUAACAUAAUGUUUUAUUAUUGUGGUUGAAAACCUUUAUAAUAAAUUUUAACAUAAUAUUUUGAUGUCAUGUAAAUACUAAAUUUUAUUUAACUUUAAUUUUAGGUAAACUUGUACUAGUUCUCGAGUCGAGUUUACUUAAGCAAAACGAGUUGAGGUAAACUCUCAAGUUGUAAAACCUUAUAUGUACCACCAAUGCACUUGCUAGGAUUAUGUUAGGAAGAAGAGUAUUCAAUGAUGGCAAUGGUGGUUGUGACCCUAAAGCUGAUGAGUUCAAGGAAAUGGUUCUUGAAUUGAUGGUGUUAGCUGGAG